rnacentral:rRNA from 1 species
AGAGUUUGAUCCUGGCUCAGGACGAACGCUGGCGGCGUGCCUAAUACAUGCAAGUCGAACGCUCUUUUCUUAUCGAACUUCGGUUCACCGAGAAAAGGGAGUGGCGAACGGGUGAGUAACACGUGGGUAACCUACCCAUCAGCGGGGGAUAACACUUGGAAACAGGUGCUAAUACCGCAUAAUUCUUUUCUUCGCCUGAAGGGAAGAUGAAAGACGCUUUUGCGUCACUGAUGGAUGGACCCGCGCUGCAUUAGCUAGUUGGUGGGGUAACGGCUCACCAAGGCCACGAUGCAUAGCCGACCUGAGAGGGUGAUCGGCCACACUGGGACUGAGACACGGCCCAGACUCCUACGGGAGGCAGCAGUAGGGAAUCUUCGGCAAUGGACGGAAGUCUGACCGAGCAACGCCGCGUGAGUGAAGAAGGUUUUCGGGAUCGUAAAAACUCUGUUGUUAGAGAAGAACAAGGAUGAGAGUAGAAUGUUCAUCCCCUUGACGGUAUCUAAACAGAAAGCCACGGCUAACUACGUGCCAGCAGCCGCGGUAAUACGUAGGUGGCAAGCGUUGUCCGGAUUUAUUGGGCGUAAAGCGAGCGCAGGCGGUUUCUUAAGUCUGAUGUGAAAGCCCCCGGCUUAACCGGGGAGGGUCAUUGGAAACUGGGAGACUUGAGUGCAGAAGAGGAGAGUGGAAUUCCAUGUGUAGCGGUGAAAUGCGUAGAUAUAUGGAGGAACACCAGUGGCGAAGGCGACUCUCUGGUCUGUAACUGACGCUGAGGCUCGAAAGCGUGGGGAGCAAACAGAAGUAGAUACCCUGGUAGUCCACGCCGU